rnacentral:rRNA from 1 species
AGAGUUUGAUUAUGGCUCAGGAUGAACGCUAGCGACAGGCUUAACACAUGCAAGUCGAGGGGCAGCAUAAAAGUAGCAAUACGUUGGUGGCGACCGGCGCACGGGUGAGUAACGCGUAUGCAACCUACCUAUCAGAGGGGAAUAACCCGGCGAAAGUCGGACUAAUACCGCAUAAAACAGGGACACCGCAUGGUGAUAUUUGUUAAAGAAAUUCGCUGAUAGAUGGGCAUGCGUUCCAUUAGGUAGUUGGUGAGGUAACGGCUCACCAAGCCGACGAUGGAUAGGGGAACUGAGAGGUUGGUCCCCCACACUGGUACUGAGACACGGACCAGACUCCUACGGGAGGCAGCAGUGAGGAAUAUUGGUCAAUGGGCGAGAGCCUGAACCAGCCAAGUCGCGUGAAGGAAGAAGGAUCUAUGGUUCGUAAACUUCUUUUGCAGGGGAAUAAAGUGCAGGACGUGUCCUGUUUUGUAUGUACCCUGAGAAUAAGGAUCGGCUAACUCCGUGCCAGCCGCCGC